rnacentral:rRNA from 1 species
GUUAGGAAUAUUGGACAAUGGGCGAAAGCCUGAUCCAGCCAUGCCGCGUGAACGAUGAAGGCCUUCGGGUUGUAAAGUUCUUUAGCCGAUGAUUAUAAUGACUGUAGUCGGAAAAUAAGCCCCGGCUAACUUCGUGCCAGCAGCCGCGGUAAUACGAAGGGGGCGAGCGUUAUUCGGAAUCACUGUGCGUAAAGCGUGCGUAGGCGGUUUUGUAAGUUAGGAGUGAAAGCCCAGGGCUCAACCGUGGAAUUGCUCUUAAAACUGCAAGGCUCGAAUCUCGGAGAGGAGAGCGGAAUUUCCAGUGUAGCAGUGAAAUGCGUAGAUAUUGGAAGGAACACCAGUGGCGUAAGCGGCUAUCUGGACGAGUAUUGACGCUGAGGCACGAAAGCGUGGGGAUCAAACAGGAUUAGAAACCCGUGUAGUCC